UAGAAUCAUGGAAUCUUAGGAGGGGAGUUAUAGGGUUAUCAGUUUCCUACAAAAUAAAGAAAUCUAACGUCGCCAAGUGAGCACGCAUCUGUCUUCCAAACAGUUCCAAUGACUAUAAUUUGUUACUAUAUUCAUUCCUGAGUGAUUUGUUUCUUCUAAGCAGUUAUUUAAACUCUGAAAUUUCCAAUACAUGUGCUAAAUUCAAGGAUUACAAGAUUUGGGGGGGAAAUCAUGAUUUAUGUCCCCACAACUUAGUGCAGGAAGCAGGCAAGACACCAACUAUAACAAUACAAUGAGAUAGAUACUCCUAUAGGCAUAGAUUUUGGGGGGAGCUCCCAAACUGUGAAAUAAUUAAUUUUUCUUGAGACUGGGAGAGGGGAAAAAGAUCAGGGAAGUUUCACAGAGGAGAUGUUAUAUGAAUUAGAUGUUAAAGAAUGAGUAGAUUUUCAGGCGGAAAAGAUAGAAUAGAAAGAAGGUAACGGUGGUACAAUAUGGUAUCUCAUGAUUAAAACCUCAUUUUAUCCUUGGUAUCCCUCUAAUUAUUUCUCUCUCCCUUUCCCUAAGACAAGAAAUAGUUUUGUUACUCAAAGUAUGGUCCAUGAACCAGGAGCUUGAAAGACUGUAGACUCUCAGAUUCCACCCCAGAUCUACUGAAGCAGCAUUUGCACUUUGACAUGAUUCCCAGGAUAUUUGCACUGAAGUCUCACAUCCUUACACUCUUGAAAUUACCCCAAAGUGGUGGCCUCCUGACUAUGAGGUUGGGGCUCACUACAAGUGUGGCUACUGGGAAAUUCUAAAUGACAUAGACUUGUGUCUCCUGUCAUCAUAUGUCUGUGGACUAGCCCUGCUCUAAGGCCCAAGUCUGGCGUGGAUCUCAACUCUGGUCUAGCUGAUGGAGACGAGCUGCCAAGUCACAUCGGGGGAAUGACUCAGAAGGGAGCAGUGGGCGGCAGCCUGCACACACGAUAACCCGGGGUAGGCUCGGCUUUUGCGGAAUCCCCUCAUUCUGUAGACGGUCCUCUAUUGCUGGUGCAGUUGAGAAAGAUAAGGUGACGCCAUCUGUUUUGAUUUACAUGCUAAUGAAAUAAGAAAAAUCAAAUGGCGUCCACAAAAUUACCAGACCAUCUCAGGAAAAUUACUCCCUGACCAGAUGUUAUUCCUUGGUUCUAAUAAUUAAUGAUGAAUCUGAAUCAAUCAGGGGAGAAUCAGCUUUGUUUUUAUUAUAUUGAUGUUCCUGUCGCUGCAAAGGUAUUAAUAUGCCAGGCCACAUAGAUUAGCACAAACUCAACAGGAUGAUUGAUCUAUGGAGAGUUUCAGGAAGAGCCUCAGGAGAAUGAGUUUCAGAUGUCCAUUGGAGCACGAGGGUCCUGUGGGGCAGUGAAGUGAGGGCAGGGGUCCUUGGUGGGUUUCCCCUGACCCUCUCCUGUCUUCCCUUGUGGGCCAUGUUUCCCAGGCUUCCCUGUCACUUGGCUUCCUGUGGGGGGCAGCUAGUGAGAAACUGAAGUGUGGGAGGAAGGGCCGAGCCAAGUGUAUCAGUUUCCCACUGCUGCUGUGAGAUGGCCACACCCUGAGUGAUUCAAACAACCCACGUCCAUUAUCUUCUGGUUCUGGAGAUCCUAAGUUUGAAAUAAAUCUUAAGGGACUAAAGCCAAGGUGUCAGCAGAGCUGCCUUCCUUCUGGAGGCUCUAGGGGAGAACUCGUCUCCUUUCUAGUGGCUGCCACAUUCCUUGACUUGUGGCCACGUCCUUCUGACCUCUGCCUCUGUUGUCACAUUGCCUUCUCUGACUCUGACCCCCGCUUCCCUCUUAUAAAGAUGGUUGAGAUGACACUGGGUCCACCUGAGUCAUCUGGAAUAAUCUUUCCCCUUAAGAUCCUUCACUUUGUCACCUCUGCAAAGUUCCUUUUGCCUGGUAAGAUGACAUAUUUACAGAUUCUGGGAAUUA